rnacentral:tRNA from 3 species
GGGCGAGGUCUCUGGUUCAAAUCCAGGAUGGCCCAGGCGGAUGUCAGCGGUUCGAGUCCGCUUAUCUCCA